CGUCGCCAUGGCGAUGGGGCUCGCCACAACCGCAGGACCUCCUGCUGAUGGCCUCUACCGGUAA
rnacentral:ncRNA from 2 species